AAAUUGUGAUGUCUUUUUUACAGCGCACUAGAGUGAGACUAACCAGUUAGAAAUUAGUCUUAGAAUGCUAUUGAUCAACUACUGAUGAUGUGCUUUAUCUUCUGUGUAUUAAUACCUUACAUCUUUCUCGUAUUUCCUAUAUCUCUUAUAUUGCUGUUACUUUGUUUUUUAUGGUAUUUAUGUUAUGUUAUGGUUUUUAUGGUAUUUUAUAUUGUUUUAUUAUGAGUAUAUUGAUAGUACUAAUAUAGUGUGUCUUGUUGCCUCUUCGAGCCGAUGGUCUCCUGGAAACAGCCUCUCUGACCCUUGGGGUAGAGGUAAGAUCUGCGUACAUAUUACCCUCCCCAGACCCCACUUGUGGGAUUACACUAGGUUGUUGUUGUUCCUAGAUCCCAAGCAGAAAAAAAUGGCGCACCUAGCCGGUUCCACUUCAUCUUCUUCAUUUCUCAAAGCCACAGAAAAUUAAAAAAAAAAAAGAAGAAAAAACCCCUAGAUCCAAAAGAGAUGACUGCUCUCUCGCUCUCUGAUCUUGAAGAACAAGAAAAUGACCUUCCUCCUCAUCCUUAAUAUCAUCUUUCACCUUCAGACACACACCUCUACUUUGAAAUGAAGAUGAAAAAAUCACAAAAGUUUGAAAAACAAAAAAAGAAUCGGAUCCUCUAAAGGAAGAUUGAAGAACAUUUGAGUUCAGAACUCGACUCCUUCUUUUCUGUAGGUCAAGGACCGAAAUUUCAAAAAAAAAAAAGGAAAAACAGAGGCUGUUGAUUUUCUGCCGGGUCUGUUGAUGCUGAGCUCCUCACAUUUUUUGCUAUUUUGUGGUUAUCGAGUUUCAGAUCUGGGUUUGGUUUGGUUUAACCGAUUUUCCGUACAAAUAUGCCAAUUCUUGUCCAAGUUGUAUCAUCGACUAAAUACUUGCAUACGAUAAACGAUGAAGGAAGGCAUUACAUCGUUUUCCUCUUAGAGAGAAAGUGUAGUUGUGGGCGGUUCCAAGUUGACGAAUUACCAUGCCCACACGCUUGGGCUGUCUUGAAGAGCAAGUUUCUAAUGCCAGAAGAUUAUUGCUCGGACUAUUACAAACCAAGUCUGUGGUAAUGACAUACGAGGUGCCCGUGUAUCCGCUGCAUGACUGGAAUGAACAACACAUAUAUCAGAAGUUGUCUUGCCACCUAAAUGGAAAAGACCUCUUUGAAGGCCAUAGAAGAAGUGCGAUAAGCCGUUAAGUGAAUUGUCGCAGAGAGGACAUAAUAAGCGUACUUGUAGAAAUGCUCCAUGUAGGAUGUAGACCGACGACAUUUUGGAAUAAUACAUAUUGAAUUGUUGGUUUA